UACGUAGGGGGCAAGCGUUGUCCGGAUUUAUUGGGCGUAAAGAGCGUGUAGGCGGCCAGAUAGGUCAGCUGUGAAAACUCGAGGCUCAACCUCGAGAUGUCGGCUGAAACCAUCUGGCUAGAGUCCGGAAGAGGCGAGUGGAAUUCCUGGUGUAGCGGUGGAAUGCGCAGAUAUCAGGAGGAACACCAAUAGCGAAGGCAGCUCGCUGGGACGGUAUUGACGCUGAGGCGCGAAAGCGUGGGGAGCAAACAGG
rnacentral:rRNA from 1 species